rnacentral:rRNA from 1 species
AGAGUUUGAUCAUGGCUCAGGACGAACGCUGGCGGCGUGCCUAACACAUGCAAGUCGAGCGAGUGAAUCUCCUUCGGGAGUGAAACUAGCGGCGGACGGGUGAGUAACACGUGGGCAACCUGCCUCAUAGAGGGGAAUAGCCUUUCGAAAGGAAGAUUAAUACCGCAUAAGAUUGUAGCUUCGCAUGAAGUAGCAAUUAAAGGAGUAAUCCGCUAUGAGAUGGGCCCGCGGCGCAUUAGCUAGUUGGUGAGGUAACGGCUCACCAAGGCGACGAUGCGUAGCCGACCUGAGAGGGUGAUCGGCCACAUUGGGACUGAGACACGGCCCAGACUCCGUACGGGAGGCA